rnacentral:rRNA from 1 species
GACGAACGCUGGCGGCGUGCUUAACACAUGCAAGUCGAACGGAAAGGCCCUGCUUUUGUGGGGUGCUCGAGUGGCGAACGGGUGAGUAACACGUGAGUAACCUGCCCUUGACUUUGGGAUAACUUCAGGAAACUGGGGAUAAUACCGGAUAGGAGCUACUGCUGCAUGGUGGGGGUUGGAAAGUUUCGGCGGUUGGGGAUGGACUCGCGGCUUAUCAGCUUGUUGGUGGGGUAGUGGCUUACCAAGGCUUUGACGGGUAGCCGGCCUGAGAGGGUGACCGGCCACAUUGGGACGGGGAUGCGGCACAGACUCCUACGGGAGGCAGCAGUGGAGAAUAUUGCACUAUGGGCGGAAGCCUGGUGCAGCGACGCCGCGUGCGGGAUGACGGCCUUCGUGUUGUAAACCGCUUUCGCCUGUGACGAAGCGUGAGUGACGGUAAUGGGUAAAGAAGCACCGGCUAACUACGUG